UACGGUAGGGGGGCAAGCGUUGUCCGGAAUCAUUGGGCGUAAAGAGCGCGUAGGCGGCCCAGUAAGUCCGCUCUGAAAGUCAGGGGCUCAACCCCUGAAUGCGGGUGGAUACUGCUGGGCUAGAGUCCGGAAGAGGUGAGUGGAAUUCCUGGUGUAGCGGUGGAAUGCGCAGAUAUCAGGAGGAACACCAAUAGCGAAGGCAGCUCGCUGGGACGUUACUGACACUAAGGCGCGAAAGCGUGGGAGCGAACAGG
rnacentral:rRNA from 1 species